rnacentral:rRNA from 1 species
ACAUAGGUGGCAAGCGUUAUCCGGAUUUAUUGGGCGUAUAGGGUGCGUAGCCGGUAUUAUAAGUCUGAGGUUAAAGGCUGGAGCUUAACUCCAGUUCGCCUUGGAAACUGUUUUACUAGAGUGCGGAAGAGAUAGAUGGAAUUCCAUGUGUAGCGGUGAUAUGCGUAGAUAUAUGGAGGAACACCAGUGGCGUAGGCGAUCUAUUGGGACGUAACUGACGGUGAUGCACGAAAGCGUGGGGAGCAAAUAG